CUGCGGAGGAUCAUUAUUGUACAAAAUGUGGAUGGGCGCGCAAGGGCUGUCGCUGACUCAAAAGGUCGUGCACGCCCGGGUGUUGUCCCCUCGCAUAACAAUCCAUCUCACCCUCUGUGCAUCACCGCGUGGGUUCCCUUCUCGGAGGGGGCUCGCGUUUUCACACACAAAACCCCCUUUUAAAAGUGUAGAAUGACCUCAUGUAUGCGUUAACCCGCAAUCAAUACAACUUUCAACAACGGAUCUCUUGGCUCUCGCAUCGAUGAAGAACGCAGCGAAAUGCGAUACGUAAUGUGAAUUGCAGAAUUCAGUGAAUCAUCGAAUCUUUGAACGCACCUUGCGCCCCUUGGUAUUCCGAGGGGCACACCCGUUUGAGUGUCGUGAAAACCUCAACCUCCUUGGUUUCUUCUGGAGAUCAAAGCAGGCUUGGACUUUGGAGGCCUUUGCUGGCACCUCUCUUUUUGAAGGCCAGCUCCUCUUAAACAAAUUAGCAGGGUCCUCUUUGCUGAUCCUUGACGUGUGAUAAGAUGUUUCCAUGUCUUGGUUUCUGGCUCUGUCACCUUUGGGACCUGCUUCUAACCGUCUGUCGAGACAAUGUUUGAGCGUGUGCCUCCCUCCUCGGGAAGCUCCCUCGACCCCACGACCCCUUGACCUCAAAUCGGGUGAGACUACCCGCUGAACUUAAGCAUAUCA
rnacentral:sRNA from 1 species